GACAUACUGACCAAUGAGAAAAAACAAAGUCUAGAAACAAACUACACACAUAAGAAAUCUUGAUUUAUGACAGAGAUUGAAAAAUGAUUAACAUUUCAACACAGAGCCAGAGUUUAAAUUUUAGAGUAAGAGCUAAGGAAAAGUAUCUUACCUGGGACAGCUCAUUUCAGAAUAUGAACCUUGGCUUAGAUAUCUUUGAAGCUAAUUUCUGCCAAGUCCAAAGAACACACAUGGGACCUGCAAAGGCAUUCGAACAUAAUUCCCUGUCGAGACCAGUUCUCAGAAUGUUGAACCAACAUGAUCCCAUAGUUUUACAUAUACAGUUCCUUUUUCAGGAAACCAAGGACAGUAUUUUCCCACUGCCCUGAAUAGAGUGACCAUAUUUUCCAUGGGCACUCAAACCCUUUUCUGUUUUAACUGGAGUGUAAUAUAGAAGAGAUAAGUAUAAUUUUUAUGCACUCCACAGCCACCAUACAGAGAGGAGUUCAGUCUAUCUUCCCUGUGAGCCCCUAGCACCCACUCUUCAGCAGGCAGGGCCCCCUGCUCAGGUCCACAGUUUAGAUGCCCCACAAACAGCUGAGAAUACCCACUGGUAGUGGCUCUGAAUUUCCUGGGAAGGGGCUCCAAGAGGCAAUCAAUGUUCCUUUCUGCCACUGUCACAACAAUGUUCUGUCUCUUCUGCUCACAGGCUGGGGAAGAAAUUGAGCCUGAGGGCUUCACCCAAGCUUACAGCACACCACAGUCACUAUACAGAGAGGAAGCCAGUCUCUCCUCCCUGUAAACCCUCAACCCCCAAGUCCCCAACAAGGGGGGUCCUCAGCUCAGGCUACCAGUGCAGCCACCUCAACCCCUGGCUGAACAUUCCCAGGAACUGUGGCUAUAUGGUUCUCAGAGGUGGAGUUCCCAGAGGCUACUGAAAACCCCUCUACCACUGCCACUGCAGUGGUACUGCGCUUUCUGCCCUUGCCCUGGGAAAUAAGCAAAGACCCUUAGUGCUUCAACUGCACCUUGAGCAAGCUUUGAUUGC
rnacentral:lncRNA from 1 species